rnacentral:rRNA from 1 species
GGGUCAGUAGGUUGGUCGUGCCACCGGUACGUACUGGUCUCACUGAUUCCUCCUUCCUGAAGAACCGUAAUACCAUUAAUUUGGUGUUGCGGGGGAACAGGACUGUUACUUUGAAAAAAUUAGAGUGUUUAAAGCAAGCUAACGCUUGAAUACAUUAGCAUGGAAUAAUGAAAUAGGACGAUCGAUCCUAUUUUGUUGGUUUCUAGGAUUGACGUA